UAUUUCCCAGGAUACAAAUCUGAAAGCUCCUGGAAGAGUCCUACGGAGUAAGUCUGCUGGUUUGGCAACACAAGUCGACUGCCUUUGGAAACAUUACGUUUUCUCUUCAUGGGAAAUUAUUUAUAAAAGAAAUGGCAUUUCUGAGACAACUUGGUAGCAGUGGAGUUUAUUUCAAGGCUCUCAGGGCUCAUCAAAGCUGUUGAGUGUGUCAACAUCAUUCCACCUACUUGGAGGUGCUCUGGAAUAUCUGAUUCACAGGGGUUUGCCUAGAGCAUCUCUACUAGGAAGACAUCCAAUCUUGAUCUGAAAACAUCAAGAGACAGAGAAUCCGACUCUUCUUUUGGCUGGAGAGUCACUGCACACGGACAAGAGAUUGCUCACUCCAAGUGACCAUGGAGAGCCAUUUUGUUGUCAUCACUGUGGAAAGAAGUGAUAUUUUUUCUACAUGGUUCAACAACUCAGCCUAGUGCUGCACCAGGGGCUGCCAGCAGCUGUGCGGGCACGGGCAGCACCAGAGCAAGGCUUGGGCAGCAGGUAAGGGCCCCAGCAUGAUGAAUGACUCAAAGCAAGCUCCGACCAUGCAGCCAUACAGCAUAUGGAGCUGCAGGAGGAGAUUCAGGAGGAUGGGUGCUAUGCUCUCAGAAGAUGGAAACCUACUGCACCCAGUUCCCCCAGGCCUACUGGUAUGGAAACCUUCAAGAGCAUGGAAACUUCCUUUGAGUGUAAAUCCAAACAACAAACCACUGUUAUUCUUGGACAUCGAUGUUACAUUUUCCUCAUAUUUUCCAUCGCAUGGAUCAUUAAAAACAAAUUAUUGCAUUAAGGUGUUUGAAGUGUGGAUGCUCCAUGCAGCACGUGUUUGUUUCCUUGUCAGGAGUUUCCUGCUGAUCUGGUUUUAUGUUGUCUUUAUGUAAAAUUUUCACCAAGGACCAAAAUAGGCCUUAAAUAGUUUUAGAAGUGUUCUCCCAUCUCAGGCUGUUGUUUUAUUGGGUUUUUUUGUUCAUUUGUUUUUUGUUUUUGCUUUUUAAAGCCCUGUAAUCUUUGCCUUGCCAAGUAAUGGAGGAAGAUUGCUGAGAGAAUACUCACAUUGUCCUAAAGGAGUGGGAAACAGAUUGCUCAUGCAGCUUGAGUUAUAGCCCAUGGAAUAAUUUUCACAGACAUUUUUCAUUGCUCUACUGCCUUUAUAUUGGUGAUCUCUAGUAGUGUGCUCAUAGAAUCACCAAGAUUGGAAAAGACCACAGAGCUCAUCCAGUCUAACCAUCCACCUACCACCUCUACUGCCCACUGCCCACGUCCCUCAGUGCCACAUCUCCACGUGUCUUGAACACCUCCAGGGAUGGCGAUUCCCCCAAUAUGAAACCAUGGUCUGACUCAUUUUUGUGAUUGCAACUAAUUUGACACAUGCAAGCAAUACUUGCCCUCUGGCAUAAAUAUGUGCAAGAUCAGAACGUUAACACCUAGCCAGUGUGAUUUAGGAAAAAUCUCACGUAUGAGUCCCUGUAGUAGCUUAUUAUUUCUAUAAAGUACCCAAAGUUCAUUUACACUGUGCAGCAGGGAGCAACAAAAAUCUGCCUUUAAAAAUCCACAGAAUGUAAGACUUAUGUUCAACUGAAAAAGAAUGUGGAAAGAAAAUAUUUUUAUAGCAAAUUCCUCAAAUACUUAUCAGGUGAGGCAUCAAAACCAAGACCUUAAACAAGCUCUUAAUUCCCCAGUGAGGUAUUUGAACAGUGCUGGACAACAGCAUUGCUUAUUGGCAUCUUUUCUGAAGGUCAAACCACAGAGAUAGGUUCUUACAAAACCCUAAAUUUAGGCAUUCAUUGGAAAGUUUUCACUGCUGCUUCCAUUUUGUGAUAUGCCAUCCUUAUGUUUGGGUAGAGGAUUCCCAUCUAAUUAGCACAAAUCAUAGAAUGUCUUGGGUUGGAAUGGACCUCAAAGAUCAUCUAGUUCAAUUCCAUUGCCAUGGGCAGGUCUGCUGACCACCAGAUCAGUCUGACCAGGGCCCCAUCCAACCCAGCCUUGAUCACCUUCAGGGAUGGGGCACCCACAACCUCUCUGGGCAGCUGCUGCAAUGUCCAGCUGUUGAGUCCUCAUUAAUUCUCUAACUUCCCUGGUUUUACAAAACACAGACUAACACUUCACUGACUAUUUAUGGUAGGCCUGAACAAUGACAGCUCACUUGCAAAGUGUAGGUGUAUGAAAAAGACUUUUUUGCAUUUCUCAUCUUUUUGCUACCACUUUCCUUCCCUCGUCUUAUGUCACAGUCUCUGCAGAGAGCUCUGUGAAAUCCUUAGUACAGCAACGUAAAGGACUCAUGAAGAAAAGGGAUAACCAUGUGGCCUUACCAGAAGGUUUCUCCAUAGCACAAUCCUUCACCAAACAUCACACAUUUCCUCCUGGCUUGCCUUGAGGCCCCUGAGAUUUGUAAACUCUGUGGGUAAGGAUGGGCUGAAUUUUGGGCACUUGUAACCUCAGUGAGAGACUGCGGUUGGGUUCAGAUCAAACACAGGAGCUUCACUUUUGGUUGGCAUCAACCCUGGAGGAACUUGCCCCAGUAACUGCACAGAGGAAGAUGAGACUUCUGAAUGGGAAGCAACAGCAGAACUUCUCAGAUGGAGCAAAUCAAAGGUUUGGUGGGGUCAGGAGGGGUUGUUUUAUGCAGGAGGGUAAUGUUGGGCUGAAGAAUAAUUGAUUUCAGACUGCUUUUGUACUAUUGCUUUUGGCUGCUGUAAAACCGUUGCUUUUAGGUUGACCUCUCAGGGUUCAUCUGGUGCUGCCCUGCCUCUUUAUUAGUCACUAUUAGUAAUUGUAGCCUGCAGCAAUGGGGCAAAGGAGCAUGGGGGAGAAAUAAAACAUAGGAGGAGGCAGGGAAAGAAGGGCUUUGCUCAGGAGGGUCUGCCAUCAUGUAGCCUCUGAGGGGGCCCAUUGGGCUUCCCAAAAGGCUUCUCAUCCUUUUCUGCAGAGUGGGAACAUGGUAGAGGGAUCUGGGAUUGUGACCACCAGAAUGGUGAGAAUGUAUCAUGAGCCAUUAAGAGGAGCUAUUGUGGUAAAGGUUCCUUGUGGGAGCAGCAAAUGGUUGCUUUGAUAAGCUCAGAGGACUCAGAGCAGUGGGAGAAGCAGCUGAGAGCCUUCUGAGUUUGCUUCUGUGGGCAUAGAUGUAAAGCCCUGGGGUUUACCCUGAAUCCAGGCAGUGGAGUGGAUGUUCCCCCAACAAAUUCCAGAUGUUUUUCAAUCCUUCUAGUGUAUUGUUUGCAUAUGCUAAGUGCUGACUACCACCCAGAUGGACACGCUGUUUGGUUUCCCUGACAUAUGCAUGAAGAACUUGUAGGUGAUAGCACCUACAUCAGGGCCAUAGCAGGAGGCUGGGGAAAAAGAGAGAACCACCAGUUUCUGUGUGUUUGCUUCCAUUUAAAAUGAAAGUUUGGGAUGCAACAGACAUGUGAUAUGUGAUACAACCCGUCAGUGCUAUAGCUUUGCUUUCUUGUCUGGGAGAUGAUCCUGCUUUGAAGGCUCAGAUCAAAGUCUGUUGCAAGUUUGGUUCUGGGCUGAUGUCAUGAGCUGCUGGAUCUGGUCUUGCCAUAAAGGUGCCAGACAGCUCUCAUCUGGGUCUCCAGGGAACAGCACGGCCCACAGGUUAUCCAAUGGGACAUGAACCUUAAGCAGCUCCUAAUUUUUCAUUACAGAAUGGAAGGUCUUAGUGGGGACCAGACUGGAGGCUGGUAAAGCCAUGCACAGCAAGUGUGGCAGACAGGCUGAUCACUUCCUUUGGUCACAUUCCUCAGUGGUUGGUGCUCAGUGCAUCCCAGCAUGGUCCUUUAUCCCUCACCAGAGGCAUCAGGGGAUGCUGUUUGCCUCCAGAUGCAAAAAAAGAAAUCUAUGUAGUGCAAUUCCCAGGGAGGACUUCAACAACUGCUUCUAACAAGAAUGGUCUUUUUAAAGCAAGCUGCAAGCGCUGCCAUUAUAAAUAAAAGUUGUACUACAGUAACAGCUUCUUUGCAUUACACUGCUCCAGCAUGCCAUAAAUAACACCCUGCUUAGCACAUUGCCAAAGCAGAACUCUUAAGCGGAAAAGAUUCUGCUUUUUCUAAAUGUUGCUUCCUAUAGCUAUGGCUGUACCAGCUUAAUUACAACGUGCUCACACACAUGUGUUACUGUAUGUUCACAUACAAGUCUCUAAAAUUUAUUUUGGAACAUUUCUGUAUGCAAGAAAAUGUCAUUCCUGCCUGGAUGCGAGAAAAAAAAAAAAAGGGUCAUACAUUUACUGAACUUGCAACUGCUCUAUUUCUUCCUCCCGAAUCUAAUUGUUUAGCUUUUUCUUUUCAUGCUUGCAAAUUGCUCUGUGCAGCUGGUUUUAUUUAAGAGGUUAGUAUUUAGAAGUUGAAAUAAGGACGUAUUGCAUGCAUUACCCCACAGCUCACAGUCCUAGUCCUGUAUAUCAUGCACAGCAGCUCAGACUGUUAAUCAUAGGUGAGGGUUAAAAGAAGACAAACUGCAUGCAAUUACAGUGAGAUGGAUGAGGAUAUAGCCAGACAGAGCAGCUUAGAGCUGUAGAAGUAGUUCCUGUCCCACUGGAUGGGAUGGCUAUGUGCACAUAGCAAAAUGAGUUAGCUUGGAGCAUCCCUUUGCACUGCAGUAAGUGAAAAGCACGUGUGGAAGCAAUGUUGCAGGUAAGGAAACACUCAGACUCCAUCAGAUCAUGUGCUUGGCUUCAUUGCUCAGUAUGAAACAGGAUCUGGAGAGACCCUUUUGGGAGGUCACAGAAUCAUUGAAUGGCUUGGGUUGGAAGGGACCCCAGGCAUGGGGCUGCCCAGGCUGCCCAGGGCUCAUCCAACCUGGCACUGAAUGCCUCCAGGGAUGGGACAUCCACAGCUUCCCCUCCUUUUCACCCACUCUCUGGAAUUGUGCAAACAUGUACGUGGACUGCAGGGUUAAAACAACGAUAAACAAUUUGUCCUUCAUCAGGAUCAUGCAUGUUGCAGAUAAUCUAGGCGUGGUGGUAAAAAUGCUCCACAAGACAGCCUGUAUCCAAAACAAUCUCUCUCUCCAGUUUGUCCAGUUGUGCUCACUCAUAGCGGGAGCACUUGCAAACAGGCUGCCUCGCCCUUGGCAGAACAGUUGGUCAGGAGGACCUGGGGUGUGCAGCCCCAUCCCUGUUCUGUUUAGCACCAUCCAAGGAUCUGGUAAUGGAAAAGGAAUGAAAGGAAUCGGUGUCUUCUGGCAGAAUUAAUCCCAGGAGGAUUUGCAGUCUGUGAGCAAGGUCUGGUGAAUGUGAGCACCCAGGGCACACACAGAGCUCGGCUCACCCCAGCUUUCAGAAGGCAGCGAGAAGGACUCUCCUUAACAGCUGUGAGAGCUGAAGUUUGGUAGGCCUGCAGAAGAGUCCCUGAGAGAGCUGUUGGCUUGAAAAGUCCUUCUGCCCUCUGGAGAAAAUCAGAUCAAUACUAAACCUUGGAUCCUGCCCUACUUCUCGUUUUCCCACCCUGCUUCAUGCCUCGCUGCUCUCUGGGAUCCAUUCCUAAUGGGAGCUUUCCAUGGACAAAUGCCAGCUCUCAGUAUGACCCGUGUGACGAUUUGAGGUUACAGCCUAGAGGUUGGAGAGGGUGGCCAGUGAGGGUCAGGGUCACAUCAUCACUGGGGAUGGGAUCCAUGCAACCCAGCCCAGUGGCUGGUAACACUGUCAGUAGCAGGGGGCUCAGAACGAGGUGAUCUUCCUAGUCCCUUCCAAACUAAGCCAUUUUAUAAUUCUAUGAUAAUUUGUUCCUCCCUGGGCCACGUGCAGAAUAUGAGAGGCUGUUUCCGCCCUUCGCUUUCUUUCCUUUAGCACUCAACAAUCACUCAUGAACUACCUCUGUUCAGUGGCUCGUUCCAAUGAUAUCUGCACAGUUAUUUCAUUCCAGAUAUCCACAGAUCCAUUAAUACUGCACCAUAUCUGGGAUGCUGGCCUCAGACUCACAUACAUGAAAUGAUUCAUGAUCAGAAACACUAGAAGCAAAAAGACAACUGAGGCAUUCGUGUUUUCUUUUCAGUAACCUGUCCGGGACUACAGCACUGCUAAAUUAGCAGCGGGAUCAUCCUCAGCCUUCAGUGAACACACAUUGCCAGUUACAGGUCAAACAUUAAUUCAAGAAAUCAAAUGCAAGUGUGAGCAGUUCAAACAAAGAAGCUUCCCGGUUCAAAGCCCAGCACAGACCUUGCUUUGUCAGCCCUACAUUUUUUUACAGUUGGCUUUGCUCUGCUCCUUAUAGCUGUACGUUACCGUAAUAAAGUGGUGGUUAAAUGUUCUGAAUAAUUGUUGGGCAUUUCCAGGCUGUGAAAUGCUGUUUCAUUACAGUGCAAUUCAAUUUGUUAAAGAUGGGAAAAGAAUAAUAAUUAAAAAAAAAAAACCAAAAAAAUAACAACUGAAAACUACUGGAGAAUAUGGAUCACCAUACUCUACUGCUGGGUCCCCCAGUGAAAACCUACUGCUAACACUCUUCUGACAGGGCUGCUCUUAAAUUUGGACUGGUUCAACUGGAGACCGAUGGACUGGAAAGUACAUUUGAAGUAAAUACACCCCUAUGCUUUCCAGUAGCCCGUAUCUCUCAGUUACGCAAACUACCAGCAGCAGAGCAUGGAUGUGCAAUUUUGGAACGGAGGGGAAAAAAAGGCAAUUACAUUAAAACAAUAAAAAACAAACAGUGAGAGGGAGCUUAACCAGCAAGUAGGCUUGUGGCCUUAAUGUUCCCCAGAUCUACAGAUAGAACCUCUGAACACCAGGCUCUGCACGAGAAGCAAGGAGAAUUUUCUAUAAUUAUCCUCAUUAGUACCUGUCUCUUCAAAACUCUUCCUUUUGUUUUUAGCAGAAAAAUAUGAGGCUUGAGCUGACUGGUGUAUUCUCUAUCACGGAAUCUUCCCUAACAGCCUGCCUCAUCUGCUAUUGUUUGCUGUUUAUUGGGAGCGUUGUCUUAGCGUCUGUGGGAGGUCAAAAUAUGUGCAGCACUAAUUUCAGGGGUCGGUAACAGGUUUUAAUGGGGAAAAAAACCCACAUCCAGUUAGAAAAGCAGACAGGCUGCCAAGCAAGAAGUGUGAGUUGAGUUUGUAUGCCUGAAAGCCUCUCUGCUUUAUCAGUCAGUCUAAUAAAAGAUUGCCAGCCCCCCAAUUAUUUACCAAACAAGUGCUCUGCAUGGCUGAGAGCUUGCAGUUUAUGUAGAUGCUUAAUAGACAACGGGAUGAAUAUUAUGACAUCACUGACAGGAUGAGAGGGAAUGGCCCCAAGUUGCUCCAGGGGAGGUUCAGGUUGGUUAUUAAGAAUAACCUCACAGCAAGAGCAGUGAGACAUUGACACAGGCUGCCCAGCGGGUGGGGGAGUCACUGUCCCCAGAGGUGUUGAAGAAAUGUGGAAAUGUGGCAGUGAGGAAUGUGGUUAGCAGGCAAUAAUGGUGGUAGCUGGACAGUUGGGUCAGAUGAUCUUAGUGGUCUUUUGCAAUCUCAGUGAUUCUAUUGCCCAGAGAGGUUGUGAAUACCCUCCUGCCUGCAAGCAUUCCAUGCCAGGUGGAAUGGGGCUGUGAGCAACCUGGUCUAGAGAGAGGUGCCCCUGCCUAUAGCAGGGGGUUGGAACUACAUGAUCUUAAAGGUCCCUUUCAACCCAAACCAUUCUAUGAUUCUAUGCCCAUAGUAGAGAAAAGAAAUGAAAGAAAGGUGGAUUUUCAUGUCAGUAAUGAAGCCCAUUGCUACUGUGCUGGAAUGAAGUGAUUCCACAAGAAGGAGUAAGUUUGUGUCUCGUUUAAUGGAAGAAGGGCAAACUGAAGCUCACUGUAAAAGUGGAUGAUGUGUUUUUAAAGCAACUGAUUGGUUUCAUGAAAAAAAAGAAGAAAGUGCAGUUCCUGCCUUGCUCUGGUCCAAACUUUGCAGCGGGUUGGUGCGUUAGAGCAACAGUAGAACUCUUUGUCUGGCUUGGUUGAGUCAUGCAAUUAUAACAACAGUAAGUACCUAGCAACAGCCUCAAUAAACACCCAUUUAUUUGAUUAAUCAGCCGUUUUGAAACAGGUUUGGUAAACAUUACCCUUUCACUUCUGGAUUACUUCAUUAAGAAAGCUGCCCUCUGAGGCUGCUCCCUACACGAUGAAUAACCACCAAUGUCCUGCCCACCGUGGGCAGGUGGGCUGAGCUUUCCCAGGUAGUUCCACAGUACAGAGAGCAGGUACAGGACAGGGAAGCAUUUACUGUGGGGUUUCUAGCUAUGAGUUCAUGAUAAAACUGUUGAUGAUUAUAUGCACUCUCAGUAAGUGCAUAAGAAUCCAGUGCCUAUGAGAGCAAGGUAGGAAAAAAGAAGCAGCAGAAGCUUAGUUUCCAUGAAUGUAAACAUUUGCACGUGAUAUUUAAGGAUAGCUUACAGUGGCUGAUAUGUACUUUAAGUACUGAAAGGUGCUCAGAGAGCUCACAGACUGCAAGAAGUGUUUACUGUGAACUGGAAUCUGGGAACAAAUGGAAAGUUUUGUUAUCAUGAAAGAUAUCAAGAUUAUUUCCAAAGUAACCCUUGAUGCAGCCCUGUGAAAGGGAGGCUGUGAAGUCUAGUUAAAAAGCAUAUAUAUGCAUAUAUAUAGAAAGAAAUAUGCAUGUAAAAACAUUUCUAUAUAUAUGCAUAUCGGGACUGGAGGUGCCCACUUAAUGAGAAUGAUGAGGAUGAAGCUGUUUCCCAUUCUUUCCCAAGCUUUCUUGCAUAGCAGUGAGAGAACUGAACCAAAGGGACAGGGAAACUUCAUUUCACAGGAAAAUGUCCCUGUUGAACUGAACCUCUGUCCUCUUGCCCUCAGGUAAAUGCUCCAUCUGGCUAUAUGGUUGAAUGGCCUUUGCUCAGCCUUUCCAGCUGACACCGUUCUGUUCUGCAUAAAAUAAUUAAACAUAGAUCUCUACUUGUUUCAGUCAUGAUAAAAAACUACAGAGCUGCUUUUGCAUCCAGGUGUUCGGUGUUUGUUUUGUUUUGUUUUUCAUUCUGCUGUCAUAAAGCCACUUAAAUAUGCAUUAUUUAUCAUCAGUAUAGUGAGAUUAUCUCCAGCAUUAAAUUACUGUACAGCAGCAGAGUUCACUCCUUUCCCUCUUGAUUCUCAACAUACAAAGAAAUAAACUCCUUUUAUGACUA